AGAAAAUAUUAGGGGGGUCAGUCCCUCUGGGAAGAAAUGCAUUUUUAGCCAAUGAAUGAUCAUCAUCAUCCAGGCCCUUACCUGAAUUUGAGGCAUGCUUGUCUCAAUUCUUACCUGGGCAUUUGGAGUUCCUUUGGGUGCAGCUAAGAU